GACGAACGCUGGCGGCGUGCUUAACACAUGCAAGUCGAGCGGAGCGGCUAACGGGUGAGUAACGCGUGAGUAACUGCCCCCCUCUCUGGGCUAAAAGUUGGAAACGGCUGCUAAUACCGGAUAGUGUGGGAUGACUCGCGUCCUAUCAGCUUGUUGGUGGGGUAGUGGCCUACCAAGGCGACGACGGGUAGCCGGCCUGAGAGGGCGAACGGCCACCUUGGGCUGAGAUACGGCCCAAAAUCUGACGGGAGGCAGUAGGGGGGAAUAUUGCGCAACGGGGGAAACCCUAAUGCAGCAACGCGGGUGUGGGAUGACGGCACUGGGGUUGUAAACCGCUUUCAGCAAUGACGCGGUAGUGGCAGAAGAAGCACCGGCUAACUACGUGCCAGCAGCCGCGGUAAUAC
rnacentral:rRNA from 1 species